CGAGUUAAUUAAACUUGACCUUUGAUUCUUGUCAAUAUGUUUCUAUCUUCGACACAAAUCAAUCCACCUCAAUUUUAAGUCUAACCCGAUUCGUCUUGAUAUUUAGUUUUGAUUGACUCGUCUCGACUUUUGACAUGUUAAGCUUGUCUCGACCUUUAGCACGUGUUGACCUAUCUCAACCUUUUGCUAAUCCCAACCCUGC
rnacentral:lncRNA from 1 species